CGUAUAUUAACAUAAUCAUAGGACACCCUGUACUUAUAGUAAAAAAACUAAUCGAAUAUCUCAAACUAGAAUCAGAUAGAUCGUUUCCUUUUCUCUAUCUUGUCCUAAAUAAAAGUGUCGCAUUCAUGGUAGUCAUCCCCUAUCUAUAUAAACAAAAUUCCCAGACUUUAUUUAUUUAUUUCCGAACGCUUCAGAGUGAUGCCACUCCUUAAUUUCCGUCUUAUCCGAUUUCUCAGUUAUCCUGAUCGAUAUUCUUCGACCGGAUGUUCGUCCCGGGCCAUUUUAACCGUUGCGACUAUUUUGAGACGUCGACGUAUUCUCGCGCACCCCCAAAUACACGUUCGCUAGCAAUCUCGCAUCCGCAACCCUUGACAUUCACAACCUUUUUCCGCCAGUAUACUCGUGUGUCCGGAGGUCAAAGAUCCUUGCGUAUUGCCAGAGAGGAGAGAGAGAAGAAGAGUUAGAGAGAUAGAUAGAAAGAGAGGGAGAGAGAGAGUGAGCAGGGGUUGGUGGAAGGGAUAAGGGAGUGGGCGAGGAAGCAAAUCAAUAGAAGCAACCGUCGCGCCUCGAUCGUCGUCGUGCUCGAACUUUCGAAUGAAUGCUGCCAUGAAAGUGCAGAAUCGAAACUUAUUACCGAGUGACAGUCCAUGAUAAUAUUGACGUCGAAUCGGCCGAGAAGCGAAAGUGAUUCGAGUCGAACGGAGCCUCGUGUUGUUAUCAGGAUGGGACAAUGGGGACAAGAGCUAUGGUCCGCACUGAUCCUAUGGGAAUGCCAUCGACGAGAGUAUCGUUCAAUUAUCUACUGUCUUUCGCAGAACUUCGCGCCGACUUGCGACGAUGUUCUACUUCAGAGUCUGAUCACUUUUUAGACGUUGUUUAGAACUGUUGGUGACUGGUCGUGUGUCUGUGUAGAGAAGCUGAAGUAACUCUACGAUGAACAUUUUCAUGGAAUUGCUGAUAAUUAGUGUAAAAUUCGUUCGGAGAAAACGUGGACAAAUGAAAGAAUUUUUAACGAUUGCUAUGAUUUAGUUCGAUAGAACAUAGGCCGAAGAAAGUGUGGAAGUUCUGCAGUUAAAUCUGCGAUAAGCAUUUUCAUGGAAUUGUUGAUAAAUAGCAUAAUUCGAUCAGAGAUGUGAUGCAUGCAAAUAAAAGUGUACAUUUGUAGUUAAUUCGGUUGUGGAAUUCUUCGUGGGAUUUUUAAUGAUCAUUAUGAUUUAUUUCUGUAGAACGUAGACAGAGGAAAGUUUGGAAGUUUUGUAGUUAAUUAUGCAAUAAAAAUUUUCAUGGAAUUGCUGAUAGUUAGUGUAGUUUGCUCAGAGAAAACGCAGAUAAAUGAAAGUGUACAUUCGCAGUUAAUUUUGUUACAGGAACCUUCGUGGAUUUUCGAAAAUUACUAUGAUCUAUUUCGAUAGAACACAGACAGAGGAAAGCGUGGCAGUUCUGUAGUUAAUUAUGCAAUAAAAAUUUUUUAUGAAAUUGCUGAUAGUGUAGUUUAUUCAGAGAAAACGCAGAUAAAUGGAAAUGUACAUUCGCAGUUAAUUUUGUUACAGGAACCUUCGUGGAUUUUCGAAAAUUACUAUGAUCUAUUUCGAUAGAACACAGACAGAGGAAAGCGUGGCAGUUCUGUAGUUAAUUAUGCAAUAAAAAUUUUUUAUGAAA